GGGGUCGUGGCGUAACCUGGUAGCGCGGCAGGCUCCAGACCUGCAUGUGGGGGUCCAAAUCCCUCCGAUCCCA
rnacentral:tRNA from 1 species